rnacentral:rRNA from 1 species
AUUCGUAGGGAACGAGCGUUGUCCGGAAUUACUGGGUGUAAAGGGAGCGUAGGCGGGAUGGCAAGUCAGAUGUGAAAACUAUGGGCUCAACCCAUAGACUGCAUUUGAAACUGUUGUUCUUGAGUGAAGUAGAGGUAAGCGGAAUUCCUGGUGUAGCGGUGAAAUGCGUAGAUAUCAGGAGGAACAUCGGUGGCGAAGGCGGCUUACUGGGCUUUUACUGACGCUGAGGCUCGAAAGCGUGGGGAGCAAACAGGAUUAGAUACCCUGGUAGUCCACGCUGUAAACGAUGAUUACUAGGUGUGGGGGGACUGACCCCUUCCGUGCCGCAGUUAACACAAUAAGUAAUCCACCUGGGGAGUACGGCCGCAAGGUUGAAACUCAAAUGAAUUGACGGGG